AACGCGAAGAACCUUACCUACCCUUGACAUGUCACUAACGAAGUAGAGAUACAUUAGGUGCCCGUAAGGGUAAGUGAACACAGGUGCUGCAUGGCUGUCGUCAGCUCGUGUCGUGAGAUGUUGGGUUAAGUCCCGCAACGAGCGCAACCCUUGUCUUUAGUUGCUACGCAAGAGCACUCUAAAGAGACUGCCGGUGACAAACCGGAGGAAGGUGGGGAUGACGUCAAGUCCUCAUGGCCCUUAUGGGUAGGGCUUCACACGUCAUACAAUGGUGCAUACAGAGGGUUGCCAACCCGCGAGGGGGAGCUAAUCUCAGAAAAUGCAUCGUAGUCCGGAUCGUAGUCUGCAACUCGACUACGUGAAGCUGGAAUCGCUAGUAAUCGCGGAUCAGAAUGUCGCGGUGAAUACGUUCCCGGGUCUUGUA
rnacentral:rRNA from 1 species